GGCCAACACUUGCCGGAUGUCGUCGCCGCAGACGCCGAGGCGCCCGCUCCGGCGCCCGCUGCCGUCUACACCGUCGCCGACGACCAAGUCCACCUCUCUGGCGUCAGCUCCGGCGGCACCGAAGAAGUCUCCUGCACUUAGAGCUACUUGAACCUGCGUGACAUCACAUAUUCCACCUACGGCAUCAGCACAUUGGCAGCAGAUGGCAGCGGUACGUUUGGCGACUAUCGGUGCAGCAACAGCGAGUGCAGUUGCAGUUGCGCCAGACAUGUGCAGCAAGGGAAAUGACUCUGCCGUGCAGUGAACAGUUGCAAACCUAGCUGCACCCGCACUCAUCAUCAUUGUCACCAGCGAUAAACUUGAGCACGAUGUUGCUCUAGUUCAGCAAACUGUAAUAAAUUAUGGCACUGUGUGUUUGGUUUAGCCCUGUACUGUGACUUUCGGGUCCUGAGUUACGCGUGACAAUUACUAGCUGACUUUAAGAGAUGCUGUUUACAGUGGAAUGACUUUAGUAAAUGUGUCUUGUCACAGUGUUUAGUCACACAGCUACUAGGUCAACUAAGCAAGCCAUUAUUGGCCAAAGGGUUUAGUGUGUUGUGACAAAGUGGAACAACUGGUAGUGAUGAACGAAGCAACACAAAAAUUCAGCUAAUUUUGCCGUCACACUACAGCUACAUCCUGUGUCAUACUAGUUAGCCAGCGAUGGAGUGAUCGUUAAUGCUGUCGAGAGUAGUAUCCCAUUUUCACAAUGUCGACUCUACUUCUCGUUUCUACGCUUCCGUCGCCUUCAUGAUCGAGUGUUUCAUAUAGUUAUAUGAUUAUCCUUCGCUUUCAUGCUAAACGCAUGUGACACACACUCAGUCUGACAGUGUUCAUGUUGUCCAUCUCAGGUUGUUCCAACGCUUGUACUGAGUUUUCUCUGUGUGUCUAAAAUGACUAUAUGCUGUAUUAGGUAUAGUGGUAUCGACUUUUUGAAGAUUAGUGUAUGAGCUCUAGGCUAGAAUGCUGGCAUUAGCAACUGAAUAACGGUGAAGGCUGUGUUAUGUUCCUGAUAUCAAGUGUCUCUUCCUGCCUCCUAUGCCAAUGACUUUCUCUCCAGUAUUUAAUAUGCUUUUUAUUGGAAAUGGUGCGCUGCUAGUAAGAGAAAGCGCUGAUUACUUACAGAUGUGUCAUAUAUGAAUGUGUACGUUUAGAAAAAUAAUACGUUAGUUACUGCUGCUUUAAUAUUUCCAUGAAGAAUUGCACCUAACUGAAAUGGCAAGUUGGUUUUAACAUGUAUGUAUCUUGAUCAAGUUAAGACCCUGGCUCACACUAAAUGUAAUGUGUUGCUGAGUUACGUUUCAGAGACAAUCAUAUGAAAGUAAUCAGGCAAAAAUAUAAAUGGAACGCUAUAUAUAUCCAUUUAAAUACCUGGAGAAGGAACACAAUACCGGGGCAUGCGGACUGUCAUAUAGCUCCAAGCAGCAGUUUCUCUUCAGGCGUGACCGACUUGUACUUCAUACUGGCAUACGUUGUGACAGUUGAUUUGAGUGAUAUCACUUGAAAAUAUAAUGGCACAUCACAGUUAGUUUCGGAGAAAAGACGUAUUAUACAUAAUUAAAGGAAUUCAGCGAUACAGAGUGCUGAAAUUCAGCCAACUCUUAUUUCAGUCAGACUCUCGGUAUUUGAAAUCGACCGCUGACGGGUGCUUUAUCAAUGGCUCACGCAUAUCUCUGACACGGCGGAAAAGUAAAAUACGCGUUUGCUACGUUUAUAAAUACUCAGUGUGUGUCUUUCCAAAUUAUUCUGCAAUUAUAUUUAAAUUAAAAUACGGGUCAUUUUUAAACGUAAGAAAUGUUUUUGCAACUUUUAUCAGUUCUGAAAUUCACAAGAAUAGCAGGUAUGAGCCCCACAUUUAAGCUGUUAGUGUCUCGUCACGAACACUGCUUGAUGUCCUGUCUUUCUUGUGCAUCUUCAGAGGAGUGUGAAUCAUUACAAAUGUAAGUCUACAGGGACAGUGGUAAUUGGCAGAAAAUCCCGUCUUCCUAAUAAGUACAUAAAUAUUUUGUGUUUAGAAUUACUUAUGUAAAGGUGGCAUGGCUAGAAAUGUGGUUACACAUGUACCACGUCGAUCAAACAUCAAGCGUAAGAGUUGUAAACGUUGUCUUUGCAGUCGCUGUAUAAACUAGCCUCAGCCUUCAGUAAGUUCUGUCUUAAGAGUAGACAACUUUGUCGUCAUUUUGUUCAUUGAAUUGAGAGACUGUAAUAAGUUUGAUACUUGCAGCCUGCUAGUGGAAGUCACAUUUCAACAAAUGCUUUGUUUCGUGACGCAUGGUAUGUACAAAGUCAACAACUUAAAAGUAUAAUCUGACUUUUCCAUAUCUCAAAUCGACUAAUCCGUCGUUAAAUGAAGCUAACAACAUUAAUAUCAUUCUGACAGCUUACGAAAAAUUCAGAUAUAUGAACAUUACUGAGAGUUAUGCAUCGCUAUUCAGUAAUAACCGGGUUGGAUACAUUUUAUUCUAUAUGAAUCAAUUGUGAACAGUCUGAUGUAAGGGGAUUGUUGGAUGCUGAAAAUAAGUUAUGUCAGUUUAUUUGAUGAAAUGUUUAAUCCAAUAUAACUCAUACUAAGCUUGGUCAGUAAGGUAAUCGAUACUUUUGUGUUGAAUGCACAAACAUUCGCUUACUACAAAUGACCGGUUCUCUUAGUCGUAGACUAUACUUCUGUGGAUAAUCGUAUUAUGCUCUUCACCUCCAGAAUGAGAAGACCAGUUGUGGAUGCUGAAGCAAAAAUUUACUUCUAGUAGCGUAGUCACAUUUUUUUCUUCUGGUUCUAGAAUUUCAUUUACUAAGAAUUUAGUUACUGGUGUGAUUUUCUCUUCCGAACGGUUAAAGUAGGUCCCAGGGCUAAUGUUAAAAUAUUAAAAAUCACUUGGUCACUCAUAAGACCUAUCCACAUCACAUUUAAAAAAAUUAAUCUGUAAGCAAUUUAGAAUGUUUCCUUGUCUUCUAAAAAAUUUUGUACAAAACUUUAUGUUCAGUGGGAAGAGCAUCAAAUUCUUCGAUAAAAAGGUCAAGAGUUUGCCAUUUUCGGCAUCGAAACAUUACCCAUACACCUAAAACUGCAAAAUUUGAAAUUUGAUUGAUAGUCGGUUUGACUUAUGAAGGGCUCAUUAAUCAUAAUCUACAACUGUAAUAAAUUUCUAAUUUGUAUUAUA